AGCCCACUCCAGUGUUCUUGCCUGGAGAGUCCCAGGGACAGCGGGGCCUGGUGGGCUGCCGUCUAUGGGGUCGCACAGAGUCGGACACGACUGAAGCGACUUAACAGCAGCAGCAGUGGAAAAACCAAAUACCACAAUACAGUUACAUCUCACGAUUUGUUAAUAUUUUGUUAAGUUUUUCCCUAAACAUCUGCUGCUAAGUCACUUCAGUCGUGUCCAAAACAUCUGCAGCCUUGGAAUAAUGUGAGUUUGGAUGGAGGGUGACGAGGAAUGGGCUGGUAUCCACCUUCCAGGCACCACCUUCGCGUUAGGACUCGGGGACCACAUGGACCCUACAGCUGACGCAGUUUGGAACUCUGGCCCCUACUCACAACAGGAAGGUUUUAAGAUGCUGAGUCGAGGAGUCUUAGCUCCUGGAGGAGACUAUGGAGAGCCUCUGGUUUCCAGUCCCUGCAGGGGCCAAAAGGUAAGGAAACAGCUACAGUGGCCAGCGGGGGAUGGGGAAGCCUGCAGACCAGAGCCCAGUCUAAAGAGAGCUGCUGCUGCUGCUGCUAAGUCACUUCAGUCAUGUCCGACUCUGUGCGACCCCACAGACGGCAGCCCACCAGGCUCUCCUGUCCCUGGGAUUCUCCAGGCAAGAACACUGGAGUGGGUUGCCAUUUCCUUCUCCAAUGCAUGAAAGUGAAAAGUCAAAGUGAAGUCGCUCAGUCGUGUCCGACUCUUAGCGACCCCAUGGACUGCAGCCUACCAGCCUCCUCCAUCCAUGGGAUUUUCCAGGCAAGAAUACUGGAGUGGGGUGCCAUCGCCUUCUCCGCUAAAGAGAGCACUGUCCCUCAAUGCCAGCCCGCAGUUCCCUAGGGAACCCAGCAGGGCAAGAGCGUCUCUUCCAGUUAUUCAAGAGAAGCUGGAAAUCUAGACUUGAUGCAAAUGAUUCCAAUUUUUUAAUGUUGGCAAUUAACUCAAAAAAAUGUGAAAGUGAGGGCCAAACAAAACAUGUCUCUUGGCUGAACUGAGAUGUGACCUCAGACUGAAUCCAAUUCUCUUCAUUUUACGAAAGAGGCCUGGAGGGGGUGAAGUCGACUGCCUGGUCGGCUCUGGGCUGGUCUGGGGACGGAGCUGGGACCAGAUGGAGUGCGCCUUCCCGUCCUGUGCUGUUUCUCCCACUUUUGGUCCCAGCAGUAGCAGCAGACUAUUUAGAUAAGCACGUGACAAGUUUCCACCCAGGCACACAUGUCAGUAAGACUUCUGCCUGAUGGACUGGACUUGACACAAACAGGAGACCCAACGACAAACUAUACCCGCUCUCCACUUAAUCCCGGUUGGAGUCUAGCUCCCGACAUUUUGGGGUGCAUAUGGGGAAAAGAAAGGAAAGGCUGAAAAAUUUCACCCUCAGAGAAUCUGUGGAAGGAAUGGGAAAGUCUGCAUUUUCUGGCAGAAAUUAUUUUGAAUUACUAAUUAUAAACGUGAGCUGGCUUGGGAAGAUCUUUUACUUGGCUUCCCGGAAAGUAGUUACAGGGUCUCCAUUCCUGGCUCUGUGGCCACUUCGAGGCACAGGGCUUUGCCAAGAACUUAUGUUUCCCAUGUCACAAGAGGAGAUGAACCUGCUGGCUAAGAGCGUGGACUCUGGAGCCAGAUGGCCUGGGUUCAAAUCCACAUCCUGCGACUCACCAGCCGCGUGAUCUUGCAGAGAGCACGGGACUUGGCUGUGCCUGCAUCUUCUCACCCAUAAAACGGAAACAGAAUCCGCACCUCUCUUCUAAGAGAGCCACAAGGAUCCAACGCGUGGAUACGCAGAAGGCACGGGCUUCCCCGGUGGCCCAGCGGUAAAGAAUCUGCCUGCAAUGCUGGUGACACAGGAGACUCCUAUCGGAUCCCCGGUCAGGAAGAUCCCCUGCAGGAGGAAAUGGCAACCCACUCUGGUAUUCCUGCCCAGAGAAUCCCAUGGAUAGAGGAGCCUGGCGGGCUGCAGUCCAAAGGGUCACACAGAUUCAGACAUGACUGAGCCAUGUAGCAUUCACACAGGCGUAAAGACACAGGGCCAGGGCUGUGUAUGUUG
rnacentral:lncRNA from 1 species